GUGCUAAACCCGGCACAUAUACUAAAAUUGGGACGAUACAGAGAGAUUAGCAUGGCCCCUGCGCAAGGAUGACCGCAAAUUAGUAGGCGUUCCAUAUUUUU
rnacentral:snRNA from 1 species